rnacentral:rRNA from 1 species
AUUGAACGCUGGCGGCAGGCUUAACACAUGCAAGUCGAGCGGGGAAGAGUAGCUUGCUACUUGACCUAGCGGCGGACGGGUGAGUAAUGCUUAGGAAUCUGCCUAUUAGUGGGGGACAACAUCUCGAAAGGGAUGCUAAUACCGCAUACGUCCUACGGGAGAAAGCAGGGGACCUUCGGGCCUUGCGCUAAUAGAUGAGCCUAAGUCGGAUUAGCUAGUUGGUGGGGUAAAGGCCUACCAAGGCGACGAUCUGUAGCGGGUCUGAGAGGAUGAUCCGCCACACUGGGAAUGGGGCACGGCCCAGACUCCUACGGGAGGCAGCAGUGGGGAAUAUUGGACAAUGGGGGGAACCCUGGUCCAGCCAUGCCGCGUGUGUGAAGAAGGCCUUUUGGUUGUAAAGCACUUUAAGCGAGGAGGAGGCUACCGAGAUUAAUACUCUUGGAUAGUGGACGUUACUCGCAGAAUAAGCACCGGCUAACUCUGUG